rnacentral:rRNA from 1 species
AUUGAACGCUGGCGGCAGGCCUAACACAUGCAAGUCGAACGGUAGCACAGAGAGCUUGCUCUCGGGUGACGAGUGGCGGACGGGUGAGUAACGUCUGGGAAACUGCCCGAUGGAGGGGGAUAACUACUGGAAACGGUAGCUAAUACCGCAUAACGUCACAAAACCAAAGUGGGGGAGCUCGGGGCCUCACCCCAUCGGAUGUCACCAGAUGGGAUUAGCUAGUAGGUGGGGUAAUGGCUCACCUAGGCGACGAUGCCUAGCUGGUCUGAGAGGAUGACCAGCCACACUGGAACUGAGACACGGUCCAGACUCCUACGGGAGGCAGCAGUGGGGAAUAUUGCACAAUGGGCGCAAGCCUGAUGCAGCCAUGCCGCGUGUAUGAAGAAGGCCUUCGGGUUGUAAAGUACUUUCAGCGGGGAGGAAGGCGGUGAAGUUAAUAGCUUCACCGAUUGACGUUACCCGCAGAAGAAGCCCCGGCUAACUCCGUGCCAGCCGCCGCCGUAA